rnacentral:tRNA from 1 species
GUGGGUAUAGCUCAAUUGGCAGAGCGCCAGAUUGUGGUUCUGGAUGUCGUGGGUUCAAGCCCCAUUAUCCACC